UACGUAGGGUGCGAGCGUUAUUCGGAAUUACUGGGCGUAAAGCGUGCGCAGGCGGCGCCGCAAGUCAGGCGUGAAAUCCCCGAGCUUAACUUGGGAAUGGCGCUUGAAACUACGGUGCUGGAGUGUGGCAGAGGGAGGUGGAAUUCCACGUGUAGCGGUGAAAUGCGUAGAGAUGUGGAGGAACACCGAUGGCGAAGGCAGCCUCCUGGGCCAACACUGACGCUCAUGCACGAAAGCGUGGGGAGCAAACAGG
rnacentral:rRNA from 1 species